rfam:Myotis brandtii contig310272, whole genome shotgun sequence.
GAGACACCCCUGUGGAGCAGGGCUUGCUUCAGUGGGGCCUUGAUUCUCACUGAGUCUUCCCCUUGAGUGUGUCACU